rnacentral:rRNA from 1 species
CCUACGGGAGGCAGCAGUGGGGGAUAUUGCACAAUGGUGGGAACCCUGAUGCAGCGACGCCGCGUGGGUGAAGGAGCGUUUCGGCGCGUAAAGCCCUAUCGGCAGGGAAGAAAAUGACGGGACCUGUCCACGAAGCCCCGGCUAACUAAGUGCCAGCAGCCGCGGUAACACGUAGGGGGCAAGCGUUAUCCGGAUUUACUGGGGGUAAAGGGGGCGCAGACGGCAAUGCAAGGCAGGAGUGAAAGCCCGGGGCCCAACCCCGGGACUGCUCUUGAAACUGCAUGGCUGGAGUACAGGAGGGGCAGGCGGAAUGCCUAGUGUAGCGGUGAAAUGCGUAGAUAUUAGGAGGAACACCGGUGGCGAAGGCGGCAUGCUGGCCUGUGACUGACGUUGAGGCACGAAGGCGUGGGGAGCGAACAGGAUUAGAUACCCCUGUAGUC